rnacentral:rRNA from 1 species
UACGAAGGGGGCUAGCGUUGUUCGGGUUUACUGGGCGUAAAGCGCGUGUAGGCGGGCUGAUAAGUUGGGGGUGAAAUCCCGAGGCUCAACCUCGGAACUGCCUCCAAAACUGUCAGCCUGGAGCAAAGUAGAGGCGAGUGGAAUUGCGAGUGUAGAGGUGAAAUUCGUAGAUAUUCGCAGGAACACCAGUUGCGAAGGCGACUCGCUGGAUUUUUGCUGACGCUGAGACGCGAAAGCGUGGGGAGCAAACAGG